GUACUACUGAAUAGUCCCAAAAUAGGACGAAACGGUUGUCCAGUAC
rfam:Trichobilharzia regenti genome assembly, scaffold: TRE_scaffold0007397